AAUGGAGUGAGGGGACUGAUGUUGGAUGUGUACGAUUUCGAGAACGAUAUUUGGCUUUGCCAUUCUUUUCGGGGGCAAUGUUUCAACUUCACUGCAUUUGACUUGGCAAGCAAGUCGAUGUUUCAGUAAUUUGUUGGUUAUCUGAAGCCUGUAUUGCAAGCAUUAGUGCCUGGUAUGAAGCACUCGUUUCAAUCUCUUAAGAUGUGCCAUGUAGAAACCCGGAGAUCAUUUAUGUACCCUUUAUGUUGGUUUGUGUUUGCUUGAAUUCCAAAUACAUGAAGGGUGCUGAUAUG